CCUANGGGAGGCUGCAGUCGAGGAUAUUUAGCAAUGGGCGAAAGCCUGACUAUGUGACGCCGCGUGAGGGAUGAAGGUCUUCGGAUUGUAAACCUCUUUCGAUGGGGAAGAAACCUCCGUUUAAUAAACGGAAUUGACGGUACCUAGAGAAGAAGCCAUGGCCAACUCUGUGCCAGCAGCCGCGGUAAUACAGAGAUGGCGAGCGUUACUCGGAUUUAUUGGGUGUAAAGGGCAGGUAGGUGUUCUGCUAAGUUAGUGGUGAAAUCCUGCAGCUCAACUGCAGAACUGCCACUAAAACUGGUAGAAUUGAGGCUAGAAGAGGAGAGCGGAAUUCCCGGUGUAAGAGUGAAAUCUGUAGAUAUCGGGAGGAACACCAGUGGCGAAAGCGGCUCUCUGGUCUAGCCCUGACGCUGAUCUGCGAAAGCUAGGGGAGCAAACAGGAUUAGAUACCCCUNUANUC
rnacentral:rRNA from 1 species